UCAUCCUUUUAUUCCUAUUUUCUUUCCUUGACUGAUAAACUAUAGGACCUGUAUGUGAAAAACUGUGAUCCUGGACACAGCUUGCUUCAAUUCAGUUUCCAUUCAUCUUACCAUUGGGUAAAAUUUACAUACUGAAAUCCAUAGGUCUUAAAUAUAAAAUUCAAUGUGUUUUUAUUAAUGUAUAUACCCAUGUAACCACCACCCCAAUCAAGAUACAGAAUAUUUCCUUCAUCCUACAAAGUUUCCUUCCAUUCAAUUUCCACCCCCUUUAGGCAACACUGCUCUGAUUUCUAUUUCCGUUGAUUAGCUUUCCCUGUUCUUGAACUUCCAGUCAAUUUCCACCUCCUAUAGGCCAUCUGUUUUGAGUUUUAUCACCACAGACUAGUUUAGCCGGCUCUUGAAAUUUAUACAAAUGGAAUCAUACGAUAUACAGCCUUCUGAGCCUCGAUGCUUUUGUUCAGUAUAACGUUUUGGAGAUUCAUCCAUGUUGUUGGAUGUAACAGUAGUUUAUUCUUUUUCUUGCUCAGUAAUAUUCCAUCAUAUGAAUACACUACAAUUUAUUUAUUCAUUCUGCUGCUGAAGGGCAUUUGGGUUUUUCCAGUUUGGGGGUUGUUGUGUGUAAAGCUGCUAUGAACAUUCUUGAACGGUCUCUCUGUAGGGACGUGUUUCUUUUGCUGUUGCGUAAAUCCCUAAGAGUAGACUUACUGGGUCACAGAGUAGAUGUAUGCUUAACUUUAUAAGAAACUGCAAAGUUUUCCAAUGUGGUUGUGCCAUUUUCCACUCUUACCACAAUGGACGAGAGCUACAGCUGUUUCACAACCCUGUCAACAUUUGGCGUUGUCAGUCUUUCUCAGCAUUCAGAAUUGCUUAUUCUGGUAGAAACUUGAAGCUUGAAAUCACAUGUUUCACUUAUUUAAGCAUUUGUAUUCCUUAUUUUCAGCUUGAUAUAAGAAAUGCAAUUUGGACUUAACCUAUCGAUUGCAACAUCACCGAAUUCCACCAGCCAGAAUAGAAAGACUGUCCAGACUCUUCUGAUUCUUGGUCUUGUCUUCUCAUUACAGGUUGUGUUGUUAUUCUCUCCACCUGUGGAAUUUUCCAUAUUGAACAGAGAGCCUCUAACAUGAAGAUCCAUGUCUUCCUCUGGCGUCUGCACUGAUUGUCAUUUACUCCCAUGACAAUCCCCUGCUCGCAAACCUUGACUCCCCAAACUCUUCUGCGUGAUGUUUCCGACCUUCCACUCACAUCACCUGGCCUUUCCAGUGUCCUCUCCCACUGGUCCCCUCACUAACCCUACAGUCUAGCCACAUGGGACCUGACUGUCCCCCCAUACACUCAGGACUGUCCCUCCCUGUGCCUUGUCUUAUACUGUUCCUUCUACCUGAUGGGCCCUUCCACCUCUCUCUGUCUAUCAAAAUCAAAUACCUUCUUCACUGUCCAACUCAAAUGUCACUGCCUUCCUAGAGGUCUGAUCUCCCAAUGGGAAGGAAUCUGUCCCUCCUCCGUGUUCCUCCCAUGUUGUACCGACUUUCUCUUACAGGAUGCGUCCCUUCCUGCCUCGUGUCAGAGCGAUUUGUCUAGGGUCUUUUCUCUCCUAAAUAAUGCUGUGCUAUAUUUCGUUCAUCUCUGCCUCCCUCAAAGGGGCUCAUAGUCAUUAGACCCUCAGUGAGUGUACAGCUCAUCUGCGGUGAACAGCUGUAUCUGCAGGUGGUCCAAGGCCCUGGUUCCUGGAAGAGGCACAGCCACCCCCAGGGUUUAGGAAAGCGCUUCUUUCUGUGUGACUCAAAAGACAAAUCAGACCAGGAGGACAGACCCCUUUGCAUUUGCAGGGGGAAACACCUGCAAUGCUCUGGAUUACUCCCCUAGGAAUUUUCCAGAUUUAUGACUAGUUUUUACAAAUGCAGUACCUGCUGCUUUGCUAAGAGUCUUAGCAUGCCCACAACUGUCCUCAGGUUUGCCCCACUCAUGAAAAGCAGUGGGCAGUCCAACUGACGGCACCUGGUAUUUCCAGAAGUCACUUCCACUGGACUUUUAAAGAUGCGUAAGCUAAACAAAGACCUACUAAGAAUGAAACCUUCAUUCAUUAACAAUCAGUGAGAAAAUAAUAAUAACCACUCAUGUUGGAGCCUUAGCCCAUGCUGAGAGCUUUAUCUCAUGUAACAAGCCCUGACAGAGGGCUGAUCGAACCCUCCCCUCUGGAAGCGCCUUUGGUUGCUUUAGUUGGCACUUCUGACUUACCAGGAAGAUGUCAGUCUCUCUAGAGCAAGGAACAGGCCACUAUCCUGGAACAGCCCUCAGCACAGUUCCAGGCAACGUGUAGCUGCGUACCCCAUAAACACUCUUAAUUGACGGGGAAUUAAAAGCAACUCCUGAACAAAGGUGUUGAAUUGAAUCGAAUUGAAUCCGAUACAUAAAAUAGUCAGAUUUUCUACCUGUUGACAGUGGUAGAUGUCUCGGAAUGACAGGACUUCCUCAGGAACCACUCACCAGAUCUGCACUUUGCCAGCCAGCUCCUGUGGCAUCGGUCAUUAUCACAGACCUCGAGCUCUGCCAUUUUCCUGCUCUUAGCUUUUCGGUGCCCUGUACCCAUCUUUAGUGAGUGGCUAUUCUGGUAAAUUGCACUUCAAGGUAAAACGUAAUUUCCGUUUUUACAAGGUCAUGAGCAAUCCCGCACUUACCCCUAAAUGAAGAGCAUCUCCACCUGGACAAGGUGCACUUAGCAAAGGCUACAAAAGGAGAGCAUUCGAGAUUUAUGAAAAUGGGGCUAAAAUGCUUUAACAAGACAGCAGAUGGAGUAAAUGGCUCUUUAGCUGAGAAAGCAGGGGGAAAUGGUUCUUUUAUCUUCAUGGUCCAUAAAGGAUCCAGUAGCCCAGGAGGCCGAGUGGUGGAGACAGUGCAGCUACAAUUGGAGAAGCUUCUGUCCACCCCUUGCUGACCCUCAGCAAACACUCAGCUUGAGCAAGAAAUAAACCUGUGCUGUGUUAGACUGAGAUUUGGGGAGUUGUUUGUUACUGUCUCAUGCCCCAGUCCGACUAUUACACUGUCCUUCU